GAUAAACGCUGGCGGCGUGCCUAAUACAUGCAAGUCGAGCGAACAGACGAGGAGCUUGCUCCUCUGAUGUUAGCGACGGACGGGUGAGUAACACGUGGAUAACCUACCUAUAAGACUGGGAUAACUUCGGGAAACCGGAGCUAAUACCGGAUAACAUGUUGAACCGCAUGGUUCAACAGUGAAAGACGGUCUUGCUGUCACGUAUAGAUGGAUCCGUGCCGCAUUAGCUAGUUGGUAAGGUAACGGCUUACCAAGGCAACGAUGCGUAGCCGACCUGAGAGGGUGACCGGCCACACUGGAACUGAGACACGGUCCAGACUCCUACGGGAGGCAGCAGUAGGGAAUCUUCCGCAAUGGGCGAAAGCCUGACGGAGCAACGCCGCGUGAGUGAAGAAGGUCUUCGGAUCGUAAAACUCUGUUAUUAGGGAAGAAAAAAUGUGUAAGUAACUAUGCACGUCUUGACGGUACCUAAUCAGAAAGCCACGGCUAACUACGUG
rnacentral:rRNA from 1 species